AUACGUAGGGAGCGAGCGUUGUCCGGAAUUACUGGGUGUAAAGGGAGCGUAGGCGGGAGUGCAAGUCAGAUGUGAAAUACAUGGGCUCAACCCAUGGGCUGCAUUUGAAACUGCAUUUCUUGAGUGAAGUAGAGGUAAGCGGAAUUCCUGGUGUAGCGGUGAAAUGCGUAGAUAUCAGGAGGAACACCGGUGGCGAAGGCGGCUUACUGGGCUUUUACUGACGCUGAGGCUCGAAAGCGUGGGGAGCAAACAGGAUUAGAUACCCUGGUAGUCCACGCUGUAAACGAUGAUUACUAGGUGUGGGGGGACUGACCCCUUCCGUGCCGCAGUUAACACAAUAAGUAAUCCACCUGGGGAGUGCGGCCGCAAGGUUGAAACUCAAAUGAAUUGACGGGG
rnacentral:rRNA from 1 species